UACAGAGGUCUCAAGCGUUGUUCGGAUUCAUUGGGCGUAAAGGGUGCGUAGGUGGCGCUGUAAGUCGGGUGUGAAAUUUCGGAGCUUAACUCCGAAACUGCAUUCGAUACUGCGGUGCUUGAGGACUGGAGAGGAGACUGGAAUUUAUGGUGUAGCAGUGAAAUGCGUAGAGAUCAUAAGGAAGACCAGUGGCGAAGGCGGGUCUCUGGACAGUUCCUGACACUGAGGCACGAAGGCCAGGGGAGCAAACGGG
rnacentral:rRNA from 1 species